rnacentral:tRNA from 1 species
UCAGGGCGUGGCUGAGACAGUCAAGCAUCUCCCUUACACCGAGAAGACAUCCAUGCAAAUUGGAUCACCCUGAGCUAAACAGCUAGCUUAACCACCUAAAUAUCUAAAACAACAUUAAAAUAUCUUAAAAACCCACAAUAUUCUAAAUUAAAACAUUUUACCGCCCCAGUAUGUGUGACAGAAAAGG